GGAUUAGCUGGACCUUUAAGACCCCACCAGCCCUAGAUCUGUGAUUCUAUAGCUUCUAUUUCUUUGGUAUUUGGGGGCUUUAAUCAAUGCCAUGAGUGAUUGAAGUGAAAUGAAAUGAUUAAAAUGAAAUGAAAAAUGAAAAGGAGGUAUAUGGAAAAUACUUAAGAGAUAUUGAGGUGGCUCAAUGGAUUGAGAACCAGGCUCCAGAUGGGAGGUCCUGGGUUCAAAUGUGACUUCAGAUACUUCCUAGAUGUGUGACUCUGGGUAAAUCACUUAAUCCCAAUUGCCUGGGCCUUGGAGCCAAUACUUAGUAUUGAUUCCAAGAUAAUGAAGGAGGAAAGAAGCAAGCAAGCAAACAAGCAAGCUAGCUAGGGAAGGAAGUAGAACGAAGAUCCUAAGGUCAUCUGACUUUUUCAUCCCUUGAACAUACAGGAAGUUAGAGAGCCAGGAGAAUUGGAUUUAUUAGAUAUACUUAUUUUAUUGAAAAUGCCCAAUACUUUCUCUGAAAUCUUCAAUUCACCAGGCAUAUUAAUAAUGCUAAUAGAGCUUUUGGAAUUCUGAAGUUGCCAAGAUGAUGAGGAAACUGGACAAUGUUUUAUUAUAGAAUUGGUUGAUGGGACAGAGGUAUUUAAAUUAGAGAAGGGAUUGAAGGAGAGUUCAUUUUGGAAUAUUUAAAAGAAAAUUAGAUGACAAAAAUAAGCAUUUAUUAAACACCUAUUAUGUUUGAGACUGGUGGCUGGGUGGUACAGUGGUUAGAAUAUCAGAUCUGGAGUUAGAAAGACUAAUCUGUGAGUUCAAAUCUGACCUCAAGCACCUCUUAGCUAUGUGAUCAUGGGAAAGUUGCUUCACCCUGUUUGCCUCAGUUUGCUCAUCUGUAAAAUGAGUUGGAGAAGGAAAUAGCAAACUAUUUCAGAAUCUUUGCCAAGAAAACCCCAAAUGAAGUUCCCAAAGAGUCAGACAGGACUGAAAUGACUGAACAGCAAUUAUAUUCAGGCACUGAAGAUACUGAGAUAAAAAUUAAAAGUCUGCCCUUAAGGAAUUUAUAUUCUACUGAGGAAUUCAAAGGUUUCACAGAUAACUAAGAUCUCUUCUAAUUGAAAUUCACUAAGUAAAUGAGAAGGGAGAGAGGAGAGAAACACUAACAAUUUAGGGGGUCAGGAAAUAUCUAUUAUAGAAUGUGUCACUUUCCAUGCUUUGAAGCAAGCUAGUGAUUUUGGUACAUAGUAAGUAUUUAAUAAAUGUUUAUUGGUAUAGUGAAUAGAAUGCUGGGCUUGGAGUCACAGGGAGAUCUGAAUUCAAAUUCAGUCAGUCAUUUACUGUGUCCCUGGGCAAAUCACUUAACUCUUGCCUCAAAAAAAGGAAAGGGUAGGGGAGGUCAGUUAUAUUGAGACAGAGGUAAAAAGAUGAAAAAUAUUAAAUCAUUUGAAAGGUAAGUGGCAGCCAUAUUGUGGGAGGCUUUAAAUGCUAUAUCAAGGAAUUUGUAUCUUAUCCUAGAGGCAAUAAAAAGACAAUGAAGAUGUUUGAGUAACAUGAUGAAACCUAUGAGAUAUCAAUUUACCAGCUGUGGGGAGGACAAAAAAGGUGGGGGGGAUUCCAACAACUCUAAGAGUCCCUGAUUUUGUGUAUAUUAUUCUGCCUUGUAAAAACAGAAGAGAUAAUUUACCAUCUGCUAUCAGCUGGCUGGUCCUGAUGAAGUCCCUUUCCAAAGGACUGCAUAGUCAAUGAACAUUGGAUGGCCAGUACCAGUAGAUGAGGACACUGAAGCGAAUGGGGUGAAGUGACUUGCCCAGGGUCAUUCAACUAGUAAAGGUCUGAAGACAGA